rnacentral:rRNA from 1 species
UCCAGACUCCUACGGGAGGCAGCAGUGGGGGAUAUUGCACAAUGGGGGGAACCCUGAUGCAGCGACGCCGCGUGGGUGAAGGAGUGCUUCGGCAUGUAAAGCCCUAUCGGCAGGGAAGAAGCAAGACGGUACCUGACUAAGAAGCCCCGGCUAACUACGUGCCAGCAGCCGCGGUAAUACGUAGGGGGCGAGCGUUAUCCGGAUUUACUGGGUGUAAAGGGAGCGUAGACGGCGAUGCAAGCCAGAUGUGAAAGCCCGGGGCUCAACCCCGGGACUGCAUUUGGAACUGUGUGGCUGGAGUGUCGGAGAGGCAGGCGGAAUUCCUAGUGUAGCGGUGAAAUGCGUAGAUAUUAGGAGGAACACCAGUGGCGAAGGCGGCCUGCUGGACUGCAACUGACGUUGAGGCUCGAAGGCGUGGGGAGCAAACAGGAUUAGAUACCCUCGUA